rnacentral:rRNA from 1 species
GAUGAACGCUGGCGGCGUGCCUAAUACAUGCAAGUCGAGCGAACAGACGAGGAGCUUGCUCCUCUGACGUUAGCGGCGGACGGGUGAGUAACACGUGGAUAACCUACCUAUAAGACUGGGAUAACUUCGGGAAACCGGAGCUCAUACCGGAUAAUAUAUUGAACCGCAUGGUUCAAUAGUGAAAGACGGUUUUGCUGUCACUUAUAGAUGGAUCCGCGCCGCAUUAGCUAGUUGGUAAGGUAACGGCUUACCAAGGCAACGAUGCGUAGCCGACCUGAGAGGGGGAUCGGCCACACUGGAACUGAGACACGGUCCAGACUCCUACGGGAGGCAGCAGUAGGGAAUCUUCCGCAAUGGGCGAAAGCCUGACGGAGCAACGCCGCGUGAGUGAUGAAGGUCUUCGGAUCGUAAAACUCUGUUAUUAGGGAAGAACAAAUGUGUAAGUAACUAUGCACGUCUUGACGGUACCUAAUCAGAAAGCCACGGCUAACUACGUG